CCAUCCCCUAGUGAGAAGUUUUACUGCUCCACCUCCCCCUCCUGUUUUGACUGUGGUAUCUUAUGUGACCCCCCAUAUAUAUUGUUCCUAGAGUCACCACGAUGUCUGCAUGUGUAUCUGUGUGUGACUGUGUUUGUGUGUGUAUGUCCGUGUAUGUGUAAAUGUGCAGACAUAUAAAAAUCUCGCCAACACUACACACAAAUACACUCUUGUAUUUCAGCGUCAACACUACAUACAAACCCCACCAUUAUAUAUAACCACACCACUGCAUUCAAAUACCACACAACACAC